CGCACGAACAAAACCCCGGCGCGGGACGCGCCAAGGACCAUGAGAACAAAGAGAGCGCCCCGUCGGCCCCGGGAACGGGGCGCGGGGGGGCGUCUUCUUUCGGUAUGAGCCAAAAAA
rnacentral:rRNA from 1 species